CUAAAAACCUAGCCCAACAAACAUGAAUUUUUACCAAAUUAACUAAACCCCUCUUAACAAACCAUUUUAAUAUUCUAGUAAAGGAGAUUGAAAAACUUAUUUGGAGCUAUAAAAACAGUACCGCAAGGGAACGGUGAAAUAUUAUGAAAAACUUCAAGCAGCAAAAAGUAAAGAUUACCUCUUGUACCUUUCGCAUCAUGGUUUAACUAGUCUAACCAAGCAAAACGUAUUUAAGUUUGACUUCCCGAAACUAAGUGAGCUACUUCAGGGCAGCUAGAAGAGCAAACCCGUCUCUGUAGCAAAAGAGUGGGACGACCCUCAAGUAGUGGUGACAGACCUAACGAACUUAGUGAUAGCUGGUUGCUCAAGAAACGGAUUUAAGUCCAACCUGAAAGUUUUAUAACCUAAGUUCAUCAAAACAAUCACCUAGCUUUCAGCGUAAUUCAAAUAAGGUACAGCCUAUUUGAAACAGGAUACAACCUAGCCUAGCGGAUAAGAUCAGCCUAACAUACAAUCAAGUGGGCCUAAAAGCAGCCACCUUUAAUACAGCGUCAAAGCUAAAUUGUAACUGAGCCCAAUUACUUAACCCAUAUCUUAAUCCCCUGCCAAUACUGAGUAAUUCUAUAAUAUUAUAGAAAUUUUUAUGUUAAAACUAGUAACAAGAAGAAGAUUCUUCUCUUAAAUGUACGUAUAAAUCAGAAAAGACAAGCUACUGAUGCUUAACACCUCUGAGUAUAAAGUAGUAACUAACCAAGAAAACUCUACUUUUACUGGUGUUAAUCUAACACAAGAACAUUCUAAGAAAGAU
rnacentral:rRNA from 1 species